AUACGUAGGUGACAAGCGUUAUCCGGAUUUACUGGGCGUAAAGGGCGUGUAGGCGGUCUUGCAAGUCAGAAGUGAAAUUCCUGAGCUCAACUCGGGCGCUGCUUCUGAAACUGCAGGACUUGAGUGCUGGAGGGGAUAGCGGAAUUCCUAGUGGAGCGGUAAAAUGCGCAGAUAUUAGGAAGAACACCGGUGGCGAAGGCGGCUAUCUGGACAGUAACUGACGCUGAGGCGCGAAAGCGUGGGGAGCAAACAGGAUUAGAUACCCUGGUAGUCAACGCCGUAAACGAUGAAUACUAGGUGUAGGGGGUAUCGACUCCCUCUGUGCCGCAGUUAACACAAUAAGUAUUCCGCCUGGGGAGUACGGCCGCAAGGUUGAAACUCAAAUGAAUUGACGGGG
rnacentral:rRNA from 1 species